rnacentral:misc_RNA from 1 species
AUGAAGAUGAUAAUAAUCAUGGUAAUAAUAGUAAUAAUGACACAAAUAUUAAUGAUGAUGACGAUAAUGAUAAUAACAACAGUAAUGAUAAUGAUAAUGAUGACGGUGAUGCUGAUGAUACCAAACAUAUUAAGUGAUAUGAGUAACAACAAAAUAUAACGGGGAAGGAAUACGAGUGAUAACAACACACAUAAUACAUAAAAAUCGUCUGCCAAAGACUUAGCGGAGAAGGGUGACGUCACGCCAUUCAGGAAAUCGUUAUUUUGGUUCUUCCGGGAGGAUGAAGGCGCGAUGGCAAGAGGGAUGGUGUCGUUCAGGCACUUUCUCUUAGUUCCCUUAUUUCUUAAUAAUACAAAAUAUCUCGGAAAUGGUGUGUACAUGAGAAAUGACCAUUGGAAUCUUGUGCGAAUAAGCCAUUUCGGCACUGAGCUCAGACAUAGAUCUUCCGGACAAUUCCAAACAAGUCCAAAUCCAGAAACUUGAACCAACCUUUCCAUGUUCGUCCUUAUAUAUCAACUUUUUGUAAACUUCGGCUCUCUUUUUCUAAAUACUUCUAGUUUCUUUAAUAUCCUAUAAAUCGAGGUCAUCUCGGAGUUUUUAUUUUCCCACCUUCUUUGGGAUGAAGAUUCCAAAACAUGGAAAGCUUUUCACUGACUUAGAACAAUAGCCCUUAGAUGUAUGGUGAGAAAACCAAGGGAAAUAGAGCUGGCAUAGAAUCUGGGACACUUUUUCGGAGCUUCGUUCUCUGGAGUCGAAACAGGACACGCGCCCGAGACCAGAGUUGUGAUGGUGUCAGGUGGUUGCAGUCUACGUGAGGGAGAGUCAUGUCGUAGGAGAAAAUGGGAAACAGAAGGCUUACUGACUGAAAAGAUAUUGCGUUUGGAUUGGCAGUGUGGAAGCUUAGGGUGUAGAGAUCGAGGACUGUGAGACCUCGAAAGACCAACCCUUUGCGUCACGAGAAGAGAUCUUUCAGCGCCAGAGGGAGCCAGGAGCAGGGAGCCAGGAACAGGGAGCCAGGAGCCAGCGCUGCAUAAACCGCUGCGAAGAAAAGCUGGCCAUGACUGGACCGUCGACGCUGUGGCUGCUCCCGGCCCUCGCCGCCUUCUUCUCCUUCUACGAAGGGGAUUCGCUCGAUCAACCCGUCGCCGAGGCGCCCGCCGUCCUUGAGGAAUACGAUUACAUCGUGGUCGGCGGCGGGUCCUCAGGCAGCGUCGUCGCCGCCAGGCUGUCGGAGGACCCUGAAGUGACAGUGCUUCUGCUGGAGGCCGGAGGGCAGGAGACCGAGUUCUCCGAGGUGCCGGGCCUCGCCGUCUACCUCCAACUCUCGCAGAUGGACUGGCAGUACAAAGCCGAGCCGUCGACCACGUCCUGUCUGGCGAUGGUGUCCAAUAGGUGUAACCUCCCGCGCGGGAAGGUGAUCGGGGGCAGCAGCAGCAUCAACUACAUGCUGUACGUGCGCGGCAACAGGCAAGACUACGACCUCUGGGAGGCGCAGGGCAACCGCGGCUGGGGCUACGACCACGUCCUGCCCUUCUUCAAGUACUCGGAGGACAACAGCAACCCGACGCUCGCGACGAACUCAGACUUCCACGGCUCGGGCGGCCCCCUGAGCGUGGGCGAGCCGCCCUGGCGCUCCCCCCUGGCGGCGGCCUUCGUGGAGGCGGGGGUCGAGCUCGGCUACCCUGCCAGGGACUUCAACGGCGCCCAACAGACGGGCUUCAUGGUGCCGCAGGGCUUCCUCAGGCGAGGCUCGCGGUGCUCGAACGCGCGGGCGUACCUCAGGCCAGCGCGGCGUCGACCGAACCUCCACACGGCGCUCCACGCCUUCGCCACGCGGAUUCUCUUCGAUUCUGCGCGGCGCGCUUACGGCGUCGUCUUCGACCGCGGAGGAGAGGAACAGCGCGGGCAGGAGGUGCGCGCAAGGAGGGAGGUGAUCUUGGCGGCCGGCGCCAUCAACACGCCGCAGCUGCUCAUGCUGUCGGGCGUGGGGCCGGCGCAGCACCUGCGGCGCCACAACAUCUCCGUGGUGGCCGACCUCGCCGUCGGACGCAACCUGCAGGACCACGUCGCCGGCACCGCGAUCUUCACGAUCGAGCAGCCGGUGUCCCUUCUGUACAGCCGGCUGGAAAACCUUCCGGCUGUGCUCAAGUACUCUGUGUUCGGCUCUGGGCCGCUCACCUCCCUGGGCGGCGUCGAGGGCGUCGCCUUCGUGUCCACCAGGUUCACGAACGCCUCGAGGGACUGGCCGGACAUCGAAUUCCAUUUCGUGUCCGGGUCGCACGCCUCGGACGGCGGCUCCCACCUGCGCCACGCGCUGGGCCUCCAGGAGGAGUACUGGACGCACUACUUCAGCCGCCUCGUCGAUCGGGACCACUUCAGCAUCCUCGCCAAGCUGAUGCGGCCUCGGAGUCGCGGCGUCGUGGAGCUGCGCUCGGACGAUCCCUACGAGUAUCCGAAGAUUACUACCAACUUCUUGUCCGAGCGAGCUGACUUAAUGGUGAUCAAAGAAGGCCUGAAGAUUGCUCGACAGGUUGGGGACACCCAGGUCUUCCAUUCGGGGCCAGGCUGUUCGAUCUUCCGCUUCCUGGAUGCGAGAGUUUCGAGUGGCUGUCCGAGGCCUACUGGGAGUGUUACAUCAGACAUUUGACCUUCACGAUCUACCACUAUUCCGGAACUGCCAAAAUGGGGCCGUACUGGGACCCACACGCUGUCGUCGACCCCAUGCUUAGGGUAUACGGAGUUCAGGGCCUCCGAGUCGUUGACGCUUCGAUCUUCCCGACCAUCCCCAGUGGCAAUACCAACGCCCCCGUCACGAUGGUCGCCGAGAAGGCCGCCCACAUGAUCAAGGAGUACUGGGCUUCCGCGAGAACCUCUGCGGGCGACGGCGCUCGUCCCUACACGACGCUUCACUCGGAGGAGCUCUGAAGCUUGCACCUACCCCC